CGCGUAGGCGGUUGAUUAAGUCGGAUGUGAAAGCCCCGGGCUUAACCUGGAACUGCAUUCGAUACUGUUCGACUAGAGUACGAGAGAGGGAGGUAGAAUUCCACGUGUAGCGGUGAAAUGCGUAGAUAUGUGGAGGAAUACCGGUGGCGAAGGCGGCCUCCUGGCUUGAUACUGACGCUGAGGUGCGAAAGCGUGGGGAGCAAACA
rnacentral:rRNA from 1 species